UCGCUGCAUGCAUUCCGGAAUCCCUGUGGGGUAAAGUUCCAACCCAGUCUCUCAUUCAUUUUGGACAGUCUAUGUAAUUUGCGCAUGAGCACGUCACUUUCGAAGUUCCAGAGCUCACCGUAAUGUGAACAAAGCGGCAGGCUCGGAGGUUUUCUUUAACACUAAGGUGGACGAGAAAGUCGUUUGUGAUCUUGUGGGGUCUCUUGAGUCCGAGCUCAGGUCACGGGAACCCAGACAGUUGCUAAACACAGUUCCGGGACAGGGGGCAGCUAAUGCUAAUGUCCAGCAGAACAAACGGGGGGAUCGGGUAUUGCGUUGAAUGGGAGCACUAAUACGGGAUUGACUUUGGCUGUCAAUGUUGCGGGUUAAGCUUUCACAAUUGCGCCCGGCAUAGGCAAACAAACUACGCUAUUGAACAAUGGGACGUGAGGGAUUCAAGCCAUCACGCCACAGGUGUUGGCCCCUCGGCUCCCCCAACCAUUCCUGAAUCAGCCCAACUUUCAGAACAUCCAGCUUCCCCAGGGGAGGGGGAAAUUGAAGCCGAGGACUUCACCAGCAGGUUAUACAGAGAGCAAAACUUCUCACCUCAGCCUUACCUUGUACCUUGUGCCUUUCCUCAAGGUUAGGAAUCCUCCUGCGCACCAAUCAAUAAACAAAACCAAGUCAUGACCCAGUCUUCAGCACCACCACCAGUUUGCUCUCACCAAACUCCAACCAUUCUGACCAAUUACCAUAUUACUGCACUGUUUCUAAUGUCUGCCUUUCAGUCUGUGUCUUUCUGUACUCCAGAGGAGCCUCCCUGCUUUGUGGCAGCUCACCCCAGACUCUGCAGCCUUCAUCCAGGAGAGUGGUCUCCAAUAACAGGCCUCUGCCCCCACCCCCAAGCUCAUCACGGUGGUACUGGGUAGCCCAAUCGCGCACCCUGAAGCCCCAGCCAUUAGACCAAACCUCCAGUCUGUCAUCAGCAAAUAGGGCCAGCCUGCCCUAAUUGGACUCUACCAAUAUAUAUACACCCCUCCAUACAGUGCUGGACAAAUAUAUGAGCAGCCUGUCACUUUUCUUAUAUAAUUCCAUACAUUUCUUCUAAAGUUUGCAUUUCAAAAAAACAUUGUCACCACACCUUAUUGGAUAUUCAACAUUGCAGAAACAAUUUUGUUUUUGUAAAAUUAAUUUCACAAUUUUAAUUUAGAAAAUAAUGACAUGGCAUGGACAAAAUUAUUGGCACCCUGGAGCUAGUACUUGGUUGCAAGAUGACUGCAGACAAAAGCUUCUUGUAGCCAUCAAUGAGCUUGCUGCACCUUUCUACUUGAAGUUUUGCCCAAUUUUCAGCAGCAAACUGCUCUAAUUAUUCAAUGUUUGAGUAACAAUGUUUGACUAACUGCUGUUUUCAGCUCUUGCCAUAGGUUUUGGAUGGGAUUCAGGUCUGGACUCUUCGCUGGUCACACCAGAACAGUCCAGCAUCUCUUCUUGAACUAUUUAUGGGUGCUUUUUGAUGUGUGUUUGGAGUUGUUGUUCUUCUGUAAGACCCACAACCUUCAAUGGAGACUCAGUUUUUGGAUACUGAGUUGAACAUUGGACUCAAAACACCUGAUAAUCUGCUGAUUUCAUGUCUUGCGCACGUUCAAGUACCAGAAGCAUCAAAGUAACCCUGCAGCAUUAUCAAACCUCUGCAUCUUUGAUUGUAGGGAGGGUGUUAUUUUCAAUUAAUUAUUAAUUUGGUCGAAAGUAAACGCAGCACUGAUCUGUAUUGCCAAAGAUAGGCAUUUUGUUUCAUUGGUCCACAGAACAUUUCCCCCAUGAUUUAGGCUUGUUUAUGUGGGUUUAAGUUAAAUCAGUCUCUUGUGUCUCCUUCAGCAGUGGGGUCUUUCUAUGUUUACCAAUGACCAAAUGAAGCAUUCAAAGAAAAUAACACCCUCCCUACAGUCUAACAUGGGAGAGGUUCAAUAAUGUUGUGUGGUUGCUUUGCUGCCUCUGGUACUGGGGGGACUUGAAUGUGUGCCAGACAUCAUGCAAUCAGCAGAUUAUCAAGGUAUUUUGGAAUGCAAUGUUCAACCCAGUGUCCAAAAACUGUGUCUCUGUUGAAGGUUAUGGAUCUUCCAGCAGGACAACCCCAAAUAUACAUCAAAAGCAACCUGGAAUGAUUUAAGAAGAAACGCCAGCGACGAGUCCAGAUCUCAAUCACAUCCAUAACCUAUGGCUAGAGCUGAAAACAGCAGUUGAUGGAGGGUAUGGCACCUGCCGCCAUACCCCGUUUAAAGGCACUUAAAUCUCUGAAUGGCACACAUACACAAUCCAUGUCUCAGUUGUCCCAAGGCUUAAAUAUCCUUCUUUAACCUGUCUUCUCCACUUAUUUGAAGUGGAUUUAACAAGUGACAUCAAUAAAGGAUCAUAGCCAUAUAAAAUAUCUAGUUUGUAAAAUAGUUGCUAUUGAGCUCAAAAUUGAGAGCUGAGAAAUAAAAAGUAUAUCUACAGAAAA